GCGACUGGUCCAUUGUUAACAAAUAUGGGUACAAUUGUGAACAAUGCGCUACAUUACUUUAUUUGGUGGAGGCAAGUGUGCGAGUGCGCCAAAUGUCGAACGAUUGAUAAUUGGGGUGCUGUUCGAAAUUGGUGGUAAAAGCCUACACACUGGACGUGGUAGUGUGAGAAGGAUAGCGAUACGAUACAAUUCGACAUUAGACAAAGAAAGAUACAGUCGGCACUCUGUGGGAAUCAAAUCACGCGCAGUACCGUGAAAGGAUCCCGGGACGAUUGUAUGUACAGCAUGUGUACCGGCGAUCUGUCGUGUACUGCAAUGGCUAUCUUUCUUCUGCGACGAUCAUCGAUGGGACAACACGCUGUUGGAUGUCUUAUUUGUACUACAGGACAAGGAACGCGUAAGAAUGUUGUGACAGUGUAGCUUCUAAUAUUAUAUCUUUUAAGUCUUCAGAGGACUGAUACAUUCAGACAUGACCAAAGACCAUAGCAUAGCAUGGUGGGAGGAUUCUUCGUUGUAUCUCACAAAAUAGGCGGUAGUGGGGCCCGUUCGUAGCCAUGUUUUAGUAUAAUUUGUCCACAAUAAAUGUA